GCUGUUGCUGUUGCUGUUGCGCGGCGGCGGCGGCGGCCGCCGCUGCUGCCGCCGCCGCCGCCGCUUCCUUAGCCGACAGGGCCACUGUCUUGACCCCGACGGGCGGCGGCGGCCCGGGGGAGCGGCCGUCCUGGAAGCAGCCGUGCGCCCGCUUCAGCUGGCGCGCUGUCUCGAUCACGAAUUCGAUGCGAUCAGCGCCCUCGUAGUUGACGCAACCGCGGCAUACGGGUUCCGAGAAGUCCCAGAUCAUGGCCCAGGGCAUGCGGGGCAGGUCGCACAGGUAGCAAGAUUGUCUCCGGGACGAGGACACCUGCGCCGCCGACAUGAUGCCUGCCCUGGGGAAGGUAGGCCCCCGCCCGGGCUGUCUCCGCGGCGCCUUCUCCUCCGGGAGGACUGGCCGGCUGGGGAGGGAGUCCGACUGCGGGGGAGGGAGGAGGGGGGGCGAGAAAGUUCUGCCCCAGGGGCUGGAGGGAACGCGAGUCUCCACCGCCGGCGCAGCGCCUCGCCGUGGGGGCUCCACCGCCCGGGCAGCGGACGGGUUCAGCCCUCUCUUCGCCCCCACCUCCUACUGCGGUUGACUCGUCGCGAGGGGAGCUCAGGCGCCUUCUUCCUGGUGCUGCAGACUUGGGCUGGAAGCUCCCGGCCCGAGGGGAGGGGGCGAGGGUGCCCGGUGGUGGCCGCCGUUGCCUCUUGGCCCCCUCCCCGGAGUGGCUGGUGCGUGGAAGCUCGAAAGGGGCUGUCUCUUCCUCUCCCCGGGGACCCCCCUACGAGCUGCGUCCUCUCCCCGACGGGCCCCCUGGGGCGAGGGCCAGAGGGUUCAGUGCCACCCGGUGCCCGGGUCCAAUCUUGCUGAAGCCGCUGCUUCCCCGGAGGACCGGGGGAGGGGGUGGCAGCCGAGAAAGGACCUUCUCCCCUCCGCAGCGUCGGCCGUUCUGCUGGCGGCGACUGGGUUUGCACCCCGGAGGGAGCCGCCGCGGCCACUGCUUCCAGGACGCACGAGAGCAGAGGAGAGGAGU
rnacentral:lncRNA from 1 species